rnacentral:rRNA from 1 species
GGGUAUACUGCAUGUCUUGAGGCCAGUAGAGGCUGCCGGGAACGGUAGGUGUAGCGGUGAAAUGCGUAGAUAUCUACCGGAACGCCGAAGGUGAAGACAGGCAGCUGGGCUGGUUCUGACGCUCAGGCACGAAAGCGUGGGGAGCAAACAGGAUUAGAUACCUUGGUAGUCCACGCCGUAAACGAUGUGCACUAGAUCCGGGAGGCUCUGACGCCAUCCGGGUCGAAGCAAAAGUGUUAAGUGCACCGCCUGGGGAGUACGGUCGCAAGGCUAAAACUCAAAGGAAUUGACGGGGGCUCACACAAGCGGUGGAGCAUGUGGCUUAAUUCGAAGCAACGCGAAGAACCUUAUCCAGGGUUUGACAUGCACGGAUACCCUCGCCGAAAGGCGAGUAAGUUGCCCAUUCGGGUGAAACGUGCACAGGUGCUGCAUGGCUGUCGUCAGCUCGUGCUGUGAAGUGUUGGGUUAAGUCCCUUAACGAGCGAAACUCCUGUCGUUAGUUGCCAGCGCGCCUUCGGGUGGCGGGGACUCUAACGAGACUGCCGGUGUCAAACCGGAGGAAGGCGGGGAUGACGUCAAGUCCUCAUGGCCUUUAUGCCCUGGGCUGCACACGUGCUACAAUGGCGUGAACAAAACGACGCAAUACCGUAAGGUGGAGCAAAUCGUAGAAAACACGCCCCAGUUCGGAUCGAGGUCUGCAACUCGACCUCGUGAAGGUGGAAUCGCUAGUAAUCGCGUAUCAGCUACGACGCGGUGAAUACGUUCCUGAGCCUUGUACACACCGCCCGUCAAGUCAUGGAAGCCGGGAGUGCCCGAAGUCGUGCCAUAUCAGGCAUGCCUACGGCAAGCUCGGUGACUGGGACUAAGUCGUAACAAGGUA